rnacentral:tRNA from 1 species
GGGGUUGUAGCUCAGUGGUAGAGCACCUGCCUAGCAUGUGUGAGGCACUGGGUUUGAUUCUCAGCACCA